AUUGAACGCUGGCGGCAGGCUCAACACAUGCAAGUCGAGCGGAGAUGAGGUGCUUGCACCUUAUCUUAGCGGCGGACGGGUGAGUAAUGCUUAGGAAUCUGCCUAUUAGUGGGGGACAACAUUCCGAAAGGAAUGCUAAUACCGCAUACGUCCUACGGGAGAAAGCAGGGGAUCUUCGGACCUUGCGCUAAUAGAUGAGCCUAAGUCGGAUUAGCUAGUUGGUGGGGUAAAGGCCUACCAAGACGACGAUCUGUAGCGGGUCUGAGAGGAUGCUGCGCCAGACGGGGACUGAGACACGGGCCAGACUCCAACGGGAGGCAGCAGUGGGGAAUAUGGGACAAUGGGGGGAACCCUGAUCCAGCCAUGCCGCGUGUGUGAAGAAGGCCUUAUGGUUGUAAAGCACUUUAAGCGAGGAGGAGGCUACUGAGACUAAUACUCUUGGAUAGUGGACGUUACUCGCAGAAUAAGCACCGGCUAACUCUGUGCCAGCAGCCGCAGUAAAAC
rnacentral:rRNA from 1 species